rnacentral:rRNA from 1 species
UACGAAGGGGGGCUAGCGUUACUCGGAAUGACUGGGCGUAAAGGGCGCGUAGGCGGUUUGCUUAGUUAGGCGUGAAAUUCCUGGGCUCAACCUGGGGGCUGCGCUUAAUACAGGCAGACUAGAGUGUGAAAGAGGGUCGUGGAAUUUCCAGUGUAGAGGUGAAAUUCGUAGAUAUUGGAAAGAACACCGGUGGCGAAGGCGGCGACCUGGACCGGUUCUGACGCUGAGGCGCGAAAGCGUGGGGAGCAAACAGG